CCUAUUGCUCCUGUCCAUGGGCUAUGCAUAUAAGUACAAUAUAAUUUCUUUGGUUUAUCUCUUUUCAUCCUCCCAAUCCCACAUCAAGGUAUGUCAGUCUCUCUCUCUCUCCUUUUGAGGGGAACAGCAGCUGUGUGGCAGCAAACAGAUGGAGACCUUAGAAAGAAGAGUAAAGCCAAGAAAGGGGGUGAUAGAAGCCAUAGGUUGGAGUGAAAAAAAGCGAAGGAAUUACUAUCUGAUUUAUGUAUGUAGAUACAUGUUUCCAUGUUGUCUUCUGCCAGGAGACCCACUUAGUGGCUCUAAGAUUGGUCAUCUUGGUAGCUUUCUGAAUGGUGUUAGGGAGGGUUGUGGUGUGUUUUCAUCCCUCAUUUGUGUAUUUCCCAUAGCAUCCUGUGGCAGGGAGUGCAGGGUAUUCUGUUCUUCAGGAUGUGUGGGAAUCACUGACCAAGGAGAAGGUAGGGUCCUGCGCCCCAGGAGCUGACAUCAUUGUGGAGACAAAUGAGCACACAAUUAGGACUAUGACGUCCGGUCAUUUAGCAUUUAGCCAGUCACUUCUCUGCACUCUCUAAGAGCAGUUUCCUGCCAUCGGGGUGGCUGAGGGCUGCAGGGGCUGGGAGAGGAGACUGCCAUUUACCGCAGAAUAACCACCCCCAGCUCACCCCUGUUGGGCUUGUGUGCUGUUCUCCCUCUCUCUCUCUCUCUCUCUCUCUCUCUCUCUCUCUCUCAGCUGGAAUUUAAAAACACAAAAACUUGGCUCGGGGAAAGACAGAGACCCCUUUGUCUGCCGAGGGUGUAAAUAUAAAUUUGGCACAUGUCAUGUAUCUAUUAUGUCUAUUAGUGGGUUUGUGGCCAGAGAGAGGGCUGUGUUCUCAGCCUGGAUGCCAAGCCCGAUCUAGGGCACGUUAAGGUGGACAUAUCUCCUGCGGAAGAUCUGGUUCCCAGGGACAGUCGCUGGAGGAACUUCUCGUCACAGCCGGGCAAUGACUGAGGCGUGGCCUGGGCACACCCAGAGCUGCUGGUGGGUGGCAUUGAUUAAUCACACUCCCAUCUCCCUCACCCUCUUGUGCUUGUCUUGGCAAAGCCCUGUUCUACCAGCUCCUCAAAGCUUGGGCCUUCCCAGAUAGGAUUGAGCAAACUCUUGGGCGGGGGUGUCAUUAUACUGUCCCUUGCCACUGGUGGAACCGCAGGCCGGUUGCCUUGGUCCCGUUCUGGUGCCCUGGGUCGUCUGGCCUGGCAGCGAGGGGCCGGGUGUUUCUUCCCGUUGGAUCGAACCACCUUCCUGAGAGGCCUGUCCUCGGGCAGUUUCUGGUCUUCACCUUUUGCAGGAUACUGGCAGCUGGGCAGUGGCCCCGGUGCUUUGAAUGCAUCAGCUAAGCAUCAUGCCAAGACAGACUCAUUGUCUUCCAGACAGGUUGGGUCAGAGGGUGUUGCAGAACCUGUUUCUGGGUUAAGAGUAGCCGUCCCACCCUCCUAUAUAUUUAUUCAUAUGAAGAACGAGUGUGUGUGUAAGGAACCCAUGAUGAUAAUAUUUUGAUUGGAGUCAGAUAUUGUCUUCCUAAUAACACGUUGUCUUUUAACAAGUGGCAUCCCUUUAAAAACCCGGCUUUGCUCGCUGAAGUGUUGCACAGAAGUUGUGGUUGCAUUCUGAAGUACGCUGCCUUGCUCCGAGGCAGGUGUUCUGUAAAUUGUUGUUUGCUUCUUUUUCAUCUCUCUUUACUCUCGUCCCUCUUUUGUGAGGAGAUUCUGGGAGGCUUUUCUGCUUCAGAGAUGAAAUAGCCUAUUUUAACUAGCACGUAACAGGGAGAGGUUGCUAUGUUGGCAUACUUACCCACAAUUCAAAUAAGAAUAAUUAAAGUCUGUUUACUUGCUAAUAUAUUCUGUUGAGUUUUUGAACAUGAGUAAGUUAGAAAACUAGAGAGUGCAAAUGUGUCAACUUCUCAAAAAUGGUACAUGUAAUAAGCUGCAAAGAAACUUUUGGUUAAUUCCUUGUUUUCACAUGCGUUUGUCCAGAAAGGGUGGGGAUUCAAUGAAGUUUGAGGACAUCUGUAAUUUUGAUGAUUACACUCUAUUAUAUUAUAUUUUUCUUUGGGUGAAUAUACCUUUAUUUGCUAAACCAUCUUCAAUUGGAAACAUUAAGGACUUUGCUUUAUUAUAACAUUUAAAGCACUUUCUAAUCUUUAUGAGGAUUAUUAGAGAAAAAAAUCAUAUCCUGUGACUUGUGCAAGUCUUUGGCAUUAUGUUACUGUUUAAAGGAAGUAGCAAUAGGAGAUUUAAGGAAAAUGGUUUUAACUCCAAGCACUGUAACAUUUUAAGGUAGGUUUACAUAACAACAGCAUUAUUUCUUAAGUUUACACAUAAUAAACUUAUCUGUAUUUUGUUGAUUUUUCUCUGGCACCUGUACAAGAUUUGCAGUGGUGGUGGUAGUAUUUUGAUGUAUGUCUUUCUGGGUUUUUUUUCUUUUAUAUCUUUAGUUUUAAAAAGUUGUUGAUGUAUAAGAUAUAUACAAUUUUCUGUUCUGUCUUACUUUGGUGGUUAUAAAUAUUUUUCAUAAAUUGAAUUUUAAUGGUUAAAUAAUAUUCUAAUUAAUAAGUUUAUUAUAUUUUGACCAUUCUCAUUUGGUUUGCUUGCAUAUUUCUUUGGUUCCAUCUCCCCCCAUCCCCCCCUGUAUAAAUGGUAUUGAUCAUUUUCAUAUAGAAAGGAAUUUUGCUCUUAGGAUAUUUUUCAUUGUUAGAUUUUUAGAAGAGACAUUAAUAUAUCAAAGAGACAUUAAAAACCAGAAAAAAAGGAUUUUUUUUAAAAUCAGGAAAACAUAAGAUAAAAUUAAAAUAUACAAUAAUCCCACCAUCUCCAACCAAAACCCAGAGUUAAUAUGUUGAAACAUUUCAGUGUUUUUUUCUAUCUAUUAUUGUAAUUGGAAUUUUAAUAUACAUAUAGUUUUGUCAUCUGCUUCUGCACCACUUAAAUAUGGUGAACAUUUCUCCAUAUAUAUGUGUUUUUUUAAAGGCUGCUUACUGUUCUACCUUAAGAAUCUACUAUAUUUUAUUUAAAUUGAAAUCUCUUUAUAGUUUCCAAUUUUUAUAAUUAUAAAUAAUGCUAUGAUGAAAAUUUUUGUAUGUAACAUUCUGUAGGGAUAUCUAUUGUAUUUCAUUUACAAACUCCCAGAAGUCAAAUUAUUGUAUCAGAGUAUGGGCUGUUCUGUGGCUUUUGAUACACACUGCCAAAUUCCCUUCCAUAUAGUUCGAUCAAGUUAUAUUUCCAUCAGCAGAAUGUCAGUGUUCCCAGACAUUGUCAACCUACCUUUUAUUUGGAAAACUCUUUACUAAUUGGCUAAGUGGUAAAUUCUGCUUCAUCCUAAUUUGCCUCCCUGCAUAGUGAUGGUGAAUGCUUUUUCAUAUGGUCAUUGGCCAUUUGUGUUGCCUUUGCUUUUAUUUACUUAUUUCGGCAAAUUGUUUCUUUUACCCAUUAAGGUGUUUAUUUGGGGUUACUGAUUUGAAGCAUCUCUUUAAAUAUUAAGUAUAUUAAUUAAUCCUUUGUCUAUCUUAAAUAUGGUGCAACAGAUAUGGGCAGGUUCAACUACAUAGUAUAAAAUUGCUACCCAUAUUGAUAUAAAAAUUGUUUAUUUGCUAGGUUACAUUUUUUUAUCCUUUGAUUGCUAAUGAACUUGGUCAGUUUUCUGUGUAUUAACUGAAAUUUUCUAUAGCUACUUUAAAAUCCUAAUCUGACUAUAUAAUUAAGCACUGAACUGUCAGUUGUAUAUGUCUAGGAAAUGCAUAUUUACUUUAUAAUAAAAGAAUACUGGAGGGAAACAAUAUAUUUUGAAGCCACAUAUGUGAUUUGGGGCUGGUGGAGGGCAACCUGUUCUGUCUCCUCUUCCUAGAUGUCCAAGAUUGUGGAGGUGACAUGCCUGAAAGUGAGGACUAAUGCACCACUCAAUCUGACCUUUGACCUCAUUGAUCAUUGUACAGUGGUCUAGCCAGUCCGUGUGGUCAGACAACCGGGUGACUAAGAUUCCCUCCCCCUCUCCCUCACCAAAUUGAUUAGUUGUGGGGCAGAACUGACUGAGUCAACCUGUUGUUUUGGCACCCCGUGGACACCACCUGUUUUUUCCAUUUCUCCUUCCAGCCUCCCACUGCCCUGGUGCAGAGCUGUGUGCACAGUGGGUAGGAGAUCAAUGUUGUUGCUGAAGAAUGUUGCAAUAAAAAAAGGCUAGAUUGCUUUUUUUUCCACAGUUGUGCGCUCUUAAGACACCCUGCUGCUUUUGACAUUAAGAGCUCCAGCUGAACUGCUCUAUGCAGAGGCCCUGAGGGUCUGAAGUGCUCGAUUCAGAAUCAUUUCAGGCAAUAUGAAUGCUUUCUUAAGUAUUAUUGGAAUUUACUGGGCUGGCUGGUUGCCAGCUAUUACCAUAUUUAGCAUGAGGAGACCUGGAGAACAAGGAAAUGCACAUUUCUGACCAACCAGAGAAGGAAACUUCUCUUGAAAGAUUGAAAAAAAAGUUUUAAAGGGUAGUUAAGAGAGUGCCAGUUAGAGUGAGAUUCCAGCUUGUGUCCGGUGGUCCUUGUUUCUGUGCCCGAACCACAGCAAUUAAUUUAUGGAUGAUGAUCAUCGGGAUUUGACAAGGAAGGUUUUUCUCACCCUGAAGCCUCCUACUGUUUCUGGGAGGAAACUGGAGGAUUUUUAUGCCUAGACUGUGCAUCGAGAGGCUUACUCAGCAAGGGAAGCCAUUGAUUAAAAACGGGUGGAUGGGUGUUAUUCUCUCAUCUCUCUUCUUGAAGGCUUAUUAGGUUUCUGCUUUGUCAUGGUCUGGAUUUAUUUUGGCCCCGUCCUUCCCUCCAUGGCUUAACAUUUCUCUGCCUCAGUUUUUCCAUUUUAAAGAUGAAGACAGCAUUUGGAAGGACCAGUCAAUACAGUGACCAUGAAACUUAUUUUUGUAAAGUAAAAAACAAAAACAAAAAAACACACCAACAUUUCCGCAGCAAAACGGAGCUUACAGAGUAUUCGCUCACAGUGGUCUCCUUCAAUCCUCACAAACCCUUGGUGGAAACUGAGCCUCCGAGGGGAUAGUUGGCUUGUACACCCUUGUUUAGCCCUAGCUAAUAAGUAACAGAGUGAGGACUUACAUUUGUGGUUAGACUUUUAAACUUCAGCUUAAAAAAAAUUUGGGGGGGUGUCAAAUUCUUUUGUGUUUGCCAUUCUGCUAGGGGCUUUACACGCAUUUCUUCAUUUUAGUCACAUGGCUAUCCAGCCUUUGGGAUGGACAUUAUUUAUUUACGUAUAUUACAGAUAAGGAAAUUGGAGCUUAGGUUCAUAGCUCUGGGUAUUGGGGUGAAUCUCGUGGUUGGUGAGGGAUGGAGUCAUGAUUAAAGGUCUGUCUGGCAUCAGGACCUGCAGCCAACCCUGUUGCUCUGUGUGCAUUUACUAGUAGACAGUCUCACACCACAGCAACCCAACAAGAUGUGGAGUAGGUAAGUUGAGGUAACUGAGGCCUACAACAUGCUCAGGAAAAUGCAAUUACUAAAGGGCGGAGUCAGGAUUUAGAGCAAGUCUGUCUGUGUCUAUAACCCUUACUCAUUCCUGUACAGUGGAGAUGCGUGUGUUGAUGUAUAUAAGUAAAAAUCAGUGCCUAAGACCAGUGUUGAAUAUUGAGGUUAGCUGUUAGGAAUCCUUUGUAGCUUCUGAAUAAAUAAGAAAUGGGGGAUUGGGGCGGGGGGAGGUGGGAAUUUAUUGACUGAUGAACUUUGCCUUCUCUCAGUUGAUUUCUGUCACCAGGACAAGCAAAUUGAACUUGGGUUGAGAAGAGGGGAGAUCCCAUUAAAGAUGAAUCUUUAAGCCCAAGUGGGCCACAGCUAUGGGCCUGUCCUACGGUUGCUCUCAGGAGCAAUGGCCGAACUCCUGAGGACUCUGCUUGGGGACAUCCCUGUCUGAGUUUCUGGAGACUCCUCUUUUCCAGGGAGUUGUCAGCUAAUGUGGAAAGAGGGUGGGGACACUUACAGGUCUGGUUCUAAAUGUACUAGUCCUGUGUCCUUGGGCAAGUUUCCUAAGCACUCCAUGCCUCAGUUUCAUUCUUUAUAAAAUGGAGAUAAUAGCUGCACGUAAUUGUUAGGGUUGUUGUGAGGAUUAAAUAAGCUCGUAGCGUUAAAUUCCCAGUACAAACAGUACCUGGCACAUGGUAAGAGAGCAGUACGUAGUUGGUGGUGGUGAUGGUGGUAUUUCAUGUCGUAGUAUGUAUGGACUGGCCUUUUGUUGCUUUCACUUUUCUGUGUCAAAAGUGGGGUGAGAAAUAGGAACUUCAGCUUUGCAGGAUGCCGAUUGUUCCCUGGUUUCUAGUGACCCUACAAAUAUUUAGGGGUAUUGUAUUUGAGUCUGUUCCCUUAAUGGGAUAUAGUUCCGAUAUCAAAAACUUUUUUUCUAUUAUAAAAAUUGCCUUGAUAGGUAUUAAAUUAUUGUUGAUUUAGUCAGACAUUUGUGGUUCGCUGUUAUGCUUAGUACAGAAACUGUGAUUUUUUUUUCCUGAGGUAUAGCUUUGAGGAUAAUAUAAGGUCCAACACUUUUGCCCCCCAAUUUCCUAUGAUAUGGGAUAUUGUGUGUCAUAUACAAAGUCCAAAGAUGUGAAGUGACUGGCCAGGGGGCCUAGAGUGAGUGAGGUCAAGGUUGAGGCCAGAAUCCAAGCUUUUGUUUUCUAGUCAAGUGAUCUUUCCUCUGUACCCACUACUCAAUGUGUCCACCCCUGAGUUUUGAGAUCUGAAAAUGGAACAGUGAAGAAGUGGGAAGGGUGGGGAGGCGAGAAGUGUGGCCAUAUUGAGCAUGUCAGUGACAGGCGGAGAAAAAAUUUGCCUGUGAGCCCCUCCCUGCCGGUCCCUUUGGACAUCUCUGUGGUGGUGGAGGCAACCCAGCAGGGCUGGUGCCAUUUGUGACUCAGAAUUGGAUUAGCCAGGGCUGGUGGAGUUACUUUCUCAGAAAAGGGUUUCAUAUUUUCACAUUUGUUUCCUCUAUAGUUUGCUUAGUCUCAAGUUUUGGCAGCCUUGAGCAAAUGGUUGUCAGGUUUUUUUGUUUUGUUUUGUUUUUUUAGACAAAACUCCAGAUUUUAUUUUGACGAUUUAGUAAACUUUCCUCUUCCUACCACUCCCUUCUGCCCCCUAUAUAAUUAUUUCUAAGACUUUGUUUUUCACUUGUGGGAGUACUCUGAAAGGUUUUCUUUUAUAGUCUGAGAUAUUUAUAAUUAUGCGUAAGCACACUGUUUACAGGGCAUGUAAGUGGUUGCAUAUAUUAACUCAUGUACACUUAAAAUAUUUUCCAAUAAUUUAAAUCUUUUCAGAAAAGCAGCUGAAGCCACUCACAGUAAAAGGGGAGGUAUACACGAAGGAAAGCAGCAUUUGAGUGUAAUUGAUAGAGAUAAAUGCGAAUGUCACUUUGGAGGAACUGGGAGUAUUUGCAUGAAAGUUGACCGGGGCAUGUCUCCUUAUUAACAACAUUGAUGUACACCUCUGUCCUCCUGGGGCUUAUCAGAACUAGCAGUAGCUUCCAUAUACUGAGGGUUUGUUAUGUGACAGAUGCUGGGGGAAACGUACUUUACCUGUAUCCGUUAGUCCUCACAGUAGGUGCUUUGAUUCCUACUUAGUGAGAGGUUAAGGGAUGGUCACCCAGCUCACCCCGCUUGUGGGUGAUCCAGUGCAGCAACCAGAACCCCUCUUCCCUGACUCCAAAGCUCACACACUCACCCACUCUCGACGGUGCCAUUGUCUGUAGUCCCACAGACAAUGUACCGUUAGAUGUACUAAUGUUUUGUGUACUACUCAACUGGCUCCAGUUUUACUCUUCAUUUCUUUCCUCUGAGUGAACAUUUGCAUAACAUGGAAAUGAUUUAACCUUUAAAAUUCCAUUUUGGGGAGUUGCAGUGUUGUUGUUUUUUUUUCGAAAUCUUUUUGAAAGGGGAAGAAUGGAUUUAUGUUUGUCAUUAUCCGAGGGAAGUUAUUUAGCGUUUCUUUUCCCUGUUCACUUCUGGAUCCUAAAAGAAAUUCUUUCGCAGAUUAAGAACAGGAAUGAGUGUGUCACUUUUUUUCCUUUUUAAUGAAAACCAUUUUGAAAGACUGGAGGUGGCAACCCAGAGUCAUAUUUGUGCCGGCUUUUUCCUGACUGUGCACUUGUGUUCUUAUUGUACCGUUCUGAAAAGGGCGUCCGAGACCAUGUAAAAUGAUUGGAAUGCCUCCUGUAUGAACAAUGGACAUAGCCAAUUACUAAAACUACCCAGUGCUAACCCAUCUUGGCCUGGGAGCUUUGGAAUUAACUGCGUGCGGCAUUUCUACCCAUAUCAUUAUAUAAAAAGCACGCGGGUAACCUUGGUUUUUCUUUUCUGGGAACUUUUUCCUUGUUAUUAUCCCUUCUGUUACUGAGAACAGAUGGUUGUCUGUGCUAAUACAUGAGAGAAGUAUGUUUGACACCAACCCUUCUGUUUUAAAAUGUAGUCCUACAUAUGAGUGCUCUGACAUGUGGGCCCUUGCAAACAUACUGGACUUCCUCUUGAAGGUUCAGUUGUGUCAGCUGCCAGUUGAAUGGUGAAGGAGAGAAUGUCCAGGGGUAUUGAGGAUAAUGAAAGAGAUAAAUAACAGCGAAAGUUGAUUGUUUGUUUUUAAUUAUCUCUUGGAAUGGCUUUUAGAUACCCUGUCCCACUCCAUUUGGAUUUUUACUGCAGCUAGGCCUGGCUCUGAUUCUUAGCUAAGGAUACAUUGGGCAAGCCACUUAACUUCUCUAAGUCUCAGUUCCCUUGUUUGUGUAUCUGGAAUAAUAAUAGUCAUACCCAACUUGCAGAAUUGUUUGUAAAUGUUGGAAAUAACAUUUAAUUGCAUGGUUCUGAGCACAAAAUAGGCACUCAACUGCAGAGGCCCCAAACCUUGAACUUCAUUAGCCUCCUGGUAAUUCCCCGUUUGGAAUAUAUGAGCUGGGAGUACUUGACUCUGGACCUCCUUGUUUCAGUUUUCUUUUAAUGAUUCCCUUUAGAUACUGCUCUUGCCAGAACAAGAUUAUGGGUCCCCUAAAAACCAGAGUCAAGCACUAUAGCAAUUUCGAGUUUAUAGAUGAAUUGCCUAUGAAUUAACACACGUUUGUCUGCUCGUGAUUUGCAGCAUCUUUCAUUUUUCAUCUCAAAAGCAAUUGAUUCAUAGAAACAAAAUAUUUAGUGUUUCAAAUCAAAGUUGGAGAACUUUUUCAAUAAGGAGGAUCUGCUCGAUCGGCUUAUUUGUUUUCAUCUUUCAUCCCUGAGUCUUCAUGGAAAUCAGGCUUGAAAUGUUAGAAGCAGUUGGUUUUCAGCAUUGGGAAAGCUUAUCUAAUCAGGCAUGUGAAGUGGCCUCUGUCGGAUUUCUGUGCCAGAGAAGGCGAGGGGAGGUGGAGGAGAUUAUCGCUCUAGCUUGUAAUUCCUGAGCAUUGUUGAGACACUAGGAGAGCAACGGGGAAAUUCCAAAAAACAUUUAAGAUGACUACACUGGCCUAACAGGCAUAUAUCUCCCAUCUCCAUUUAGGCUGGUCUGAUACUAUAGUUAUAUGGGACCUAAUUUGAAUCAUGUGAUCAAUAGUUUAUCGCUUAUGGGCUAGAUGAUGAGGAUUUUUUGUGUGUGUUUUUUUUGUUUGUUUCACAGAAUUUAGGAUUGGGAGUUUUACACAAAAUAAUAUUUUACAUUAAAUUGUGCUUUCUGACAAGGGAGCCAUCUCAACAAACAUUCUUUCAGGUGCACAGUGUAGGACAGCUUUAUAAUCACUUUUCUAAACAUGGUUUUAUUUGAGCCACAAAUGGACUCUGCUAAGGAAGGAGGGCCGGUGAUGUUAUUUUACAGAUGAGAAUGCUAAGUCUCAGCUAGCUUAUGGAAUUCCUCUAGACCACACGGGAGAAUAUAAAGCCAGGAUUAGAACCCAGGUUCUGGGGUAGUACAACAUUGCUUCCUCCAGAAUGCCCCUGAAGCCAACUUCUGUUCCCCAGGAUAAUACGGAUUCUCUUCCUUUCUGUUUUGAUUAGCUGCCUCAGUCAGAGCAUGUCAGCAGUGAAGCAGCAGUUGAGAAUUCAUUCCCCAGCUGGGUCAUUAGCUCUUCCUAACAAGAUUCUAAGCCUGUAGUAACCGGUUGUCCCUGAUGCCUGUGGCUGACUCAGCUGAACUCAUCACACCUUCCAUAUGUUCUGUAAUGGACCCCCAAUGUCAUGUUCCCAUACAGACACUUCCUGUGCUCCGAUGUCUAGUUCUUAGUACCUUCCCUCAGCUGUUUUUAAGCCCUAGUUCUUCCUGAGUGGCCUGGAGUGAUUUACUGUCCUUAAAGUUUAAGGUCUCUCCAGAACACACAGCAUAAUGUAAUUUCACUUCCCAGCUCUUGGCAUGUCUCUCCUUCAUCAUUAUAACUUUAAAUUUAAACAGAAUAUGAACUGUGUACACUGAUAGGCAUGUUAACAUUGCGCUAUCGUUUAAGUGCACUUCAGCAUUUCGUCCUUCCUUUUGAUCAAAAUGAGGAAAUAGAAAAUGUUUUGUUAUGGUAGGUUUACACAUACACCCACAAGGAAAUGCGUUAGCUAGCUUGUGUGGGAACUGUAACUGAUAUAUUUCAGGGAGGAAAAUGCAUGAUGGGUAAAAUUUUAACUCUGCCAAAUGUUCAUGGGGAAAGAAAAAUGAUCAAGCUCCCACAUUGCACUUCAGUGUGGCUUACUAAUUCUAAGGCUGUUAACUUUUAUGAGUGCCUGCCUUGUUUACAUCUAUUAACUGUGAAAGCGCGCUUGCCCUUCCACAGAGUGCAUUUCACAAGUUGUGCUUCUCCCUCCGGGAGCCAUCUCCACGAACGCACUUUCAGGUGUGCAGUGGAGGGCCGCUUAUUGCGAGUGGAAGGUUAGAAUGCCAAGUGGACCAUUUUGACUCCUCCAUCAAGCCCGCUGGACAUUUGGCCGGGCCCUGUGGUCAGCCGAGAGUUUCCUUUGAAGGCCACUGCCCUCUAGCCAUGCCAAGGCCAUGCACCUCUCUCACCAGGAAGAAUUUGGCACUUGCUUAUCAUGAGAGCUGGGAUUCCCUAGUCUCCUUCAUCCUGAGAGCUUUGAUAGCAGAGUUUCUCCUGGGGCACAUAGGUUAUCCAGAGUGCAUGUCAUUUGUUCAUAGAAAAUUAAGACUUCAUUAUAUAUAUAUAUAUUUUUUUAUUUAUGACAGUUUGAAAUGAAUCGACUUGUUACUUCAUUUCAGUAAAGGACUAUUCAUGGGUUUGGUAAAACUUCAAAUUUGACACUGUGACUAUUUGAAUUAAACAAACAUCCCUGCUGUGUGUGUGUGUGUGUGUGUGUGUGUGUGUGUGUGUGUGUUGGGAGGAAUCAACUUUGGAACUGUUUUUUUUAAAGUUAUUUUGUAAUAGUGCCUAUUCUCAGUUGGCAGAAAAUAACUAUCUAGAAUGUUGCUCAGGUCUAGUGAAAAGUUUUAGGGAAGUUGUAACUAGCUUAAUAACCAUUUGUGGACUGACAUCGAUCGACACACCCAAUUACACAAGACCUGAGUCUGAGAACUGGUGAUGUGCAAUCAUCCCAUCACAUCUGGUCGUCAUUAUCAGCAACAGUAAUGGCUCCACUAUUUCUCUGGGGCCACGUGACAUGACAGUGUCUCCAUAGUAAAGGGGAAGUCAGGGCUGACAAAACACACCCAUUCCCAACCCCUUGUUCCCAAACUUCUCUUUAAAUAUACCCUGUUGUGAGGAUUUGAACUAAUUCACCUUAUUUAAUGUUGUUGUUUUUAAUAAAAUUUUCUUUUUGGAAAAAAAAAUUUUUUCCCCUUCUUAAAUACCAUGACUUUCCAGCUCACAUUUUUGCCAACCCAAACCAGGAAGAGCCAAAGCACUCUGGGUCAUUUUUCUAACAUACAACUUUGUCAUUUGAAAGACGUCAUGUCUGUGGUUUCCUGCUGCUUUAUGAGUACUGAAGUAUUCAGUAUCUAUUCUGGUUUACAGUUAACGCUACAACUGCUGUCAACCACUGAUGAGCACUUUCUAAUAGAAAUCAUUUUGGUCACUGUGAGUGGGAGGGAAGGAAUUGGUUCACAGGAAUGAAUUUGCAUGUUGAGAAGAUACUAUCUAAUAGUUUGCCAUACCUAAGCACUUUCGUGUGCUUUAUCUCUUUGACGAGGCUGUACGUUCAUUUGUGGACACCGAGGCAGAGACCUGUGGGGCCCUGAUCCAAAGUCAGCCUGCAGGUGCCAGGUCUUCGGUCUGGCUCUUGGUGUGUAACUGGAUGAGUCUUUCAUUGGCAAAAAUAUGGAAUCUUUCUACUCUUAAAGGGCACCCUUUUGCCCUUGGACGGUAUGUUAGCAAUUCUUUCCAGAGUGGAAAGAAGGUAGCAAUAUUUUCUUCCUUUUGAUAAAAAUCAUUGUGUUUUCUCUAAGUCUUGUUGUUUCUAAUGAGAGUCUGAUGGCACGGCAGGGCUUCUGACUAAAAAGCCUUUUGGAAAAUUAAAGUUUUAUAGAAAUGAGUAAGCUUUCCAUAACAUUCUGAAGGGAGCAGACUCAAUUGAGCCGAUACAAAUGUGUUCUUUGAUUCAUCAGUACAUUACGAGACAUCAAUUUUUCAACCCAUUAAUUUUGGAGUUUUAAUAUGUACCUUCUUUCUGAAGCACAUAUCUGUGCACAAAGUGCAUGCUUCGUGGUUGUCAUUGACUUGGCAAGAGGUCAGACGUGUUGGUGAGUAUUGGUCGAGCAGUGCCAUGUAACUUCAGUGCCUAGAUUGCUGUGUGCACACUGGCCGGGAGACCAAGCUCAUCUUUUGAGAAGCGAUGUAGAGUUUCAGGAAGCACCCUGGCCUGUGAUCACAGGUCUUGAUAUGGGACAGGGUUAGUCCAGGGAACAUACUUCGCUGGGAGACCGCUUAAAGAAAAAGGUUUUGCAUUUCUUUUAAGAGUCAGGCCUUGUACUGAAUGUUAGAGUGGUUGUUUCAAAGGGCUUCUUUGUCUUAGCGAAGGCUCCUGUCUGUGAGCUGAGGAGAAGCAGAAGAGGAGAAACAGUCCUUGGGAACUUCCCCUGGAGGUUGUAGCUUGGUCUGAAGGGUCUUGAUUGGAUUAGAUGAGUAACUAGUUCCUGGGACUAACGAACUUCCCAGGAGUCCCUUUGGUUAUACAUGCAGCUCCAUGGGAUCGCAUGCCGUUCCAAGCCAUCAUGUUUUGGAAUAGUGGUUUUCUAACUUGAGUGCGCAUCAAGUUUUGGGAGGUUUGUUAGAACACAGACUGCUGGGUCCACCCCCAGAGAGGUUUUGAUUCCGUAGGCGUAGAGUGGGACCGAGUCAUUUGCAUUUCUGGCACGUUCCCAGGUGAUGCUGCUGGUGUUUGGGGACCUACACUUUGAGAGCAAUCUCAGGUGUUUGAGCUUCAGGGCAAAGGGAGCUAUGCAAGCUUGGCUGGGAUUUUUUUCACAGCUUUUCCAGUGCAUAGCAGAGCUUCCAGAUUUAUUAAUUAAUUCAUUCAACAAAUAUGUGAGUGUCCACUGUGUGCUGUUACAGUUGUUGGAGAUAUUGUGAAGAAAGCACCAGAACUCCCUCCGUUUGUGGAACUGAGUGAGCACAGGCCAGGAUUAACCAGCUAUCAGUCCUGCUAGUUAUUGACAAGCCCGUUCCUUUUCCUAGUUCCCUUCCACUUAUGUUGCUUUCUUUUGGAAUUUUGCUUUUAGUAAUAAUGACUUUGCUCUUAUUAAUCAUCACCGUAACUUUUAAAAAAAAAUAUAGAUGUUUUAGUUGAUUUUUAGAGAGAAAGGAAAGGGAAGGGAAAGAGAGAAGCAUUAAUUGGCUGCCUUCUGCACGCCCCCUAUAGGGGACGGAGCCCGUAGGAUUUUAAUGUCAAAGCUAUUGGUUCUUUCAUCAGAUAAUUUUUUUUUACUUGCAAUAUUUCUAAUGUCCCUCUGCAACAUAGUUUUUUAAUUGAAGUUUUGAAUUAAAAAGCUGUCUUCCCAGAGUGGAAGAGGUAAGGGUGGAGGAUGUUUGUGAAUUAGGUCGAAUCUCUCCUUGAG